CUCUAUUGGUGUUUUGUGGGUGAGCCCAGAAUAAGGGAAAGGUGAACCUCAUUUCUUCCAAGAACUACACAGAAGUGUCAGGCAAGACCCAUGGCUGUUAUAAGGGGCUGGGAGGGACCUCCAGGGAUCACCAAGCACAGAUCUCCUCCUCCCGACAGCAAGCUACACAGUGAGCCCAGAACUGGAUACAGUACUCCAGGUGAGUCCUGACCAGGACAGAGUAGAGGAGGGAACCACCUCCCUUGAUGUGCAGGCCAUGCUCCUUUUAAUGCAGCCCAGGAUGCCAUUGGCCCUUUUGGCCACCAGGUGGCACAAUGCUGGCUCAUUCCCAACCUGUCAUCC